rnacentral:rRNA from 1 species
ACACUCCUACGGGAGGCAGCAGUGGGGAAUUUUGGACAAUGGGCGAAAGCCUGAUCCAGCAAUGCCGCGUGUGUGAAGAAGGCCUUCGGGUUGUAAAGCACUUUUGUCCGGAAAGAAAUCCUUGGCUCUAAUACAGUCGGGGGAUGACGGUACCGGAAGAAUAAGCACCGGCUAACUACGUGCCAACAGCCGCGGUAAUACGUAGGGUGCGAGCGUUAAUCGGAAUUACUGGGCGUAAAGCGUGCGCAGGCGGUUUGCUAAGACCGAUGUGAAAUCCCCGGGCUCAACCUGGGAACUGCAUUGGUGACUGGCAGGCUAGAGUAUGGCAGAGGGGGGUAGAAUUCCACGUGUAGCAGUGAAAUGCGUAGAGAUGUGGAGGAAUACCGAUGGCGAAGGCAGCCCCCUGGGCCAAUACUGACGCUCAUGCACGAAAGCGUGGGGAGCAAACAGGAUUAGAUACCCCAGUAGUCCCAUGA